rnacentral:misc_RNA from 1 species
UUGUGGAGGAGGACGCCGAAGGUGGGGCUAAUGACUGGGGUGAAGUCGUAACAAGGUAGCCGUACCGGAAGGUGCGGCUGGAUCACCUCCUAACAGGGAGACAAAUAGUUGAUUAUGAUGUCUAAAUAAUUAUUUUAGGCCUUAAUCCUGUCACCUUAGGUCGAUCGGUACCUCAGAUUGAUUCUAAAAUUAGAUGAUUAAUCAUUUUUAUUUUGUUAUUAAUUUUAGUUCCUAAACUUGUCUAGGUCACACCUAACAAACUUUCUCCUGGGCUAUUAGCUCAGGCGGUUAGAGCGCACCCCUGAUAAGGGUGAGGUCCCUGGUUCAAGUCCAGGAUGGCCCAUUCGUUGUUGGGGGUAUAGCUCAGUUGGUAGAGCGCCUGCUUUGCAAGCAGGAUGUCAGCGGUUCGAGUCCGCUUACCUCCACUGAUCAACUGCCUGAUAACUGAUUUAAUGGAGAUAAUUUUGUUUUGAUUGAUCUAGAAUUUGUUCAACUGAAUUGACCCUAGCUUCCUAUCAUUCCUCUAUUUAAAUAGGCUGAUAAGACGCUGGGCUCACUGGUAUUUGAUAAAUAUCAGUUGUAUUCAGCAGAACCUUGACAACUGCAUAGAUUUAAGUCUGGAAAGAAUAAAGCAUCUCAUAGAUGCAUGAAAUUUAUAAGUUUAAAAUUUUGAAUUUAUAGAUUUUAUGUUUAAUUCUUGAGUUAGAGCAAAUUCUCGGUUUUUAAAUUAUCGAGAAUUAAUGGUCAAGCUACAA